GACGAACCGUGCGAACGUUAUUCGGAAUCACUGGGCUUAAAGGGCGCGUAGGCGGGCCGAAAAGCCAGGGGUGAAAUCCUCCAGCCCAACUGGAGAAGCGCCUCUGGAACUGGCGGCCUCGAGGGGUGCAGGGGCAUGCGGAACUCAGGGUGGAGCGGUGAAAUGCGUAGAUAUCCUGAGGAACACCGGUGGCGAAAGCGGCGUGCUGGGACACCUUCUGACGCUGAGGCGCGAAAGCCAGGGGAGCGGAACGGG
rnacentral:rRNA from 1 species